rnacentral:rRNA from 1 species
GAUGAACGCUAGCGGCAAGCUUAAUACAUGCAAGUCGAGGGGCAGCAUGACUGUAGCAAUACAGUUGAUGGCGACCGGCAAACGGGUGCGGAACACGUACAGAACCUUCCUUCGAGCGGGGAAUAGCCCAGAGAAAUUUGGAUUAAUACCCCAUAGUAUUACGGAGUGGCAUCACUUUGUAAUUAAAGAUUUAUCACUUGAAGAUGGCUGUGCGGCUGAUUAGAUAGUUGGCAGGGUAACGGCCUACCAAGUCUACGAUCAGUAACUGGGGUGAGAGCACGACAGGUCACACGGGCACUGAGACACGGGCCCGACUCCGACGGGAGGCAGCAGUAAGGAAUAUUGGUCAAUGGACGAAAGUCUGAACCAGCUAUGCCGCGUGGAGGAUGAAGGCCCUCUGGGUUGUAAACUUCUUUUAUAUGGGACGAAAAAGGGCCUUUCUAGGUCAACUGACGGUACCAUGUGAAUAAGCACCGGCUAACUCCGUGCCAGCCGCCGCCGUAACAC